rnacentral:rRNA from 1 species
GGUUAAGCGACUAAGCGUACACGGUGGAUGCCCUGGCAGUCAGAGGCGAUGAAGGACGUGCUAAUCUGCGAAAAGCGUCGGUAAGGUGAUAUGAACCGUUAUAACCGGCGAUGUCCGAAUGGGGAAACCCAGUGUGAUUCGUCACACUAUCGUUAACUGAAUACAUAGGUUAACGAGGCGAACCGGGGGAACUGAAACAUCUAAGUACCCCGAGGAAAAGAAAUCAACCGAGAUUCCCCCAGUAGCGGCGAGCGAACGGGGAGCAGCCCAGAGUCUGAAUCAGCUUGUGUGUUAGUGGAACGGUCUGGAAAGUCCGACGGUACAGGGUGAUAGUCCCGUACACCAAAAUGCACAGGUUGUGAACUCGAAGAGUAGGGCGGGACACGUGGUAUCCUGUCUGAAUAUGGGGGGACCAUCCUCCAAGGCUAAAUACUCCUGACUGACCGAUAGUGAACCAGUACCGUGAGGGAAAGGCGAAAAGAACCCCGGCGAGGGGAGUGAAAAAGAACCUGAAACCGUGUACGUACAAGCAGUGGGAGCACCUUCGGGUGUGACUGCGUACCUUUUGUAUAAUGGGUCAGCGACUUAUAUUCUGUAGCAAGGUUAACCGUAUAGGGGAGCCGCAGGGAAACCGAGUCUUAACUGGGCGUUAAGUUGCAGGGUAUAGACCCGAAACCCGGUGAUCUAGCCAUGGGCAGGUUGAAGGUUGGGUAACACUAACUGGAGGACCGAACCGACUAAUGUUGAAAAAUUAGCGGAUGACUUGUGGCUGGGGGUGAAAGGCCAAUCAAACCGGGAGAUAGCUGGUUCUCCCCGAAAGCUAUUUAGGUAGCGCCUCGUGAACUCAUCUUCGGGGGUAGAGCACUGUUUCGGCUAGGGGGUCAUCCCGACUUACCAACCCGAUGCAAACUACGAAUACCGAAGAAUGUUAUCACGGGAGACACACGGCGGGUGCUAACGUCCGUCGUGAAGAGGGAAACAACCCAGACCGCCAGCUAAGGUCCCAAAGUCAUGGUUAAGUGGGAAACGAUGUGGGAAGGCACAGACAGCCAGGAUGUUGGCUUAGAAGCAGCCAUCAUUUAAAGAAAGCGUAAUAGCUCACUGGUCGAGUCGGCCUGCGCGGAAGAUGUAACGGGGCUAAACCAUGCACCGAAGCUGCGGCAGCGACACUAUGUGUUGUUGGGUAGGGGAGCGUUCUGUAAGCCUGCGAAGGUGACCUGUGAGGGUUGCUGGAGGUAUCAGAAGUGCGAAUGCUGACAUAAGUAACGAUAAAGCGGGUGAAAAGCCCGCUCGCCGGAAGACCAAGGGUUCCUGUCCAACGUUAAUCGGGGCAGGGUGAGUCGACCCCUAAGGCGAGGCCGAAAGGCGUAGUCGAUGGGAAACAGGUUAAUAUUCCUGUACUUGGUGUUACUGCGAAGGGGGGACGGAGAAGGCUAUGUUAGCCGGGCGACGGUUGUCCCGGUUUAAGCAUGUAGGCUGGUUAUCCAGGCAAAUCCGGAUAAUCAAGGCUGAGGUGUGAUGACGAGGCACUACGGUGCUGAAGUAACAAAUGCCCUGCUUCCAGGAAAAGCCUCUAAGCAUCAGGUAACAUCAAAUCGUACCCCAAACCGACACAGGUGGUCAGGUAGAGAAUACCAAGGCGCUUGAGAGAACUCGGGUGAAGGAACUAGGCAAAAUGGUGCCGUAACUUCGGGAGAAGGCACGCUGGUGUGUAGGUGAAGUCCCUGCGGAUGGAGCUGAGACCAGUCGAAGAUACCAGCUGGCUGCAACUGUUUAUUAAAAACACAGCACUGUGCAAACACGAAAGUGGACGUAUACGGUGUGACGCCUGCCCGGUGCCGGAAGGUUAAUUGAUGGGGUUAUCCGUAAGGAGAAGCUCUUGAUCGAAGCCCCGGUAAACGGCGGCCGUAACUAUAACGGUCCUAAGGUAGCGAAAUUCCUUGUCGGGUAAGUUCCGACCUGCACGAAUGGCGUAAUGAUGGCCAGGCUGUCUCCACCCGAGACUCAGUGAAAUUGAACUCGCUGUGAAGAUGCAGUGUACCCGCGGCAAGACGGAAAGACCCCGUGAACCUUUACUAUAGCUUGACACUGAACAUUGAGCCUUGAUGUGUAGGAUAGGUGGGAGGCUUUGAAGCGUGGACGCCAGUCUGCGUGGAGCCAACCUUGAAAUACCACCCUUUAAUGUUUGAUGUUCUAACGUUGGCCCCUGACCGGGGUUGCGGACAGUGUCUGGUGGGUAGUUUGACUGGGGCGGUCUCCUCCCAAAGCGUAACGGAGGAGCACGAAGGUUAGCUAAUCCUGGUCGGACAUCAGGAGGUUAGUGCAAUGGCAUAAGCUAGCUUGACUGCGAGCGUGACGGCGCGAGCAGGUGCGAAAGCAGGUCAUAGUGAUCCGGUGGUUCUGAAUGGAAGGGCCAUCGCUCAACGGAUAAAAGGUACUCCGGGGAUAACAGGCUGAUACCGCCCAAGAGUUCAUAUCGACGGCGGUGUUUGGCACCUCGAUGUCGGCUCAUCACAUCCUGGGGCUGAAGUAGGUCCCAAGGGUAUGGCUGUUCGCCAUUUAAAGUGGUACGCGAGCUGGGUUUAGAACGUCGUGAGACAGUUCGGUCCCUAUCUGCCGUGGGCGCUGGAGAAUUGAGGGGGGCUGCUCCUAGUACGAGAGGACCGGAGUGGACGCAUCACUGGUGUUCGGGUUGUCAUGCCAAUGGCACUGCCCGGUAGCUAAAUGCGGAAGAGAUAAGUGCUGAAAGCAUCUAAGCACGAAACUUGCCCCGAGAUGAGUUCUCCCUGAGACUUUAAGUCUCCUGAAGGAACGUUAAAGACGAUGACGUUGAUAGGCCGGGUGUGUAAGCGCAGCGAUGCGUUGAGCUAACCGGUACUAAUGAACCGUGAGGCUUAACCUU